GACGAACGCUGGCGGCGUGCUUAACACAUGCAAGUCGAACGGAAAGGCCCUGCUUUUGUGGGGUGCUCGAGUGGCGAACGGGUGAGUAACACGUGAGUAACCUGCCCUUGACUUUGGGAUAACUUCAGGAAACUGGGGCUAAUACCGGAUAGGAGCUCCUGCUGCAUGGUGGGGGUUGGAAAGUUUCGGCGGUUGGGGAUGGACUCGCGGCUUAUCAGCUUGUUGGUGGGGUAGUGGCUUACCAAGGCUUUGACGGGUAGCCGGCCUGAGAGGGUGACCGGCCCACAUGGGACUGAGAUUCGGCCCAGACUCCUACGGGAGGCAGGAGUGGGGAAUAUUGCACCAUGGGCGGAAGCCUUAUGCAGCAACGCCGCGUGCGGGAUGACGGCCUUCGGGGUGUAAACCGCUUUCGCCUGUGACGAAGCGUGAGUGACGGUAAUGGGUAAAGAAGCACCGGCUAACUACGUG
rnacentral:rRNA from 1 species